CUGUUGUGCAAAUUUUAAUGUACUCGCAAGCGCACGAAUCUAUUGUAGUGUAGAUCAAUGGUGAUGAGUGUCGAUCCCACGAGGAGGAGGAUUUUAAUUGUGUAUAGAAUUAAUUUUGCAAAAUGGGUGGUUGGAAUUGUGGUGGAAGUGAUUUAAAUUAUCCUAAAAUUGGAAUUGAAAUUGCGAUAAUAAAUUCUAAAAUUGGAAUUGCAAUGGCGAGAAUAAGUUGAAGCGAAAUCUAUUGAAAUGACGUACUUGGGUAUCUGGAUCCGUAUCAACAUGCAUCAUGGGUGUUGUGCAAAUUUUAAUGUACUCGCAAGCGCACGAAUCUAUUGUAGUAUAGACUAAUGGUGACGAGUGUCGAUCCCACAAGGAGGUGGAUUUUAAUUAUAUAUAGAAUUAAUUUUGUAAAUGGGUAGUUGGAUUUAUGGUGGAAAUGAUUUGGAAUAUGCUAAAACUUAAAUUAAAAUGGCGAGAAUAAAUUCUAAAAUUGGUAUUGAAAUGACGAGAAUAAAUUGAAGAGAAUUCUAUUAAAAUGACGUACUUGGGUAUCUGAAUCCGUAUCAACAUGCAUCAUGGGCUAAAUAAUCCUUAUUAAUGCCAAUUAAAUCAUGAGGGGGGAAUCCACACCUCAUGAACCACGCUCUAAUCAAUAUGGUGCUAAGGGCUUAUCGUGCCAAAUAAUAAUAACCUUGUACUAGAGGGCCGGUGAAACCAAGGCGGUACUAGACAAGAUUAGUAUUAUUUGUCGACGAGAAGUCAAAACAUCUACAAAAACUAGAGGGGAAGAGAAAAUAAAUUUACCAAAUAAAGCCCAUGACACAUGUUGAGACUUCACCUUCAGCCCAAGCUUGAAAGAAAAUUAGCCACUCAUAAUUGAACUAGGGGCAAAAUGGGAAUUUAUUAAAAUACGAAGAAAAUACAAGAUGGAGAAGGAAUUACAGAAAAUGGAUCCCAAAAAUGGAUUCAGAGAUAUCAAAUUAGGGGGGAGAGGCCCCCUUUUUAUAGAUACAUGGAGUAAAUCAUGGCCAUCGGAUUAAAAACAGUUUGGACGCUCAGGAUUGCGCCACGUCAUCAGUCAACAGUCCACGGUUUGACCACGCGGAUGAACAGUAACACGGUUUGACUCGGAUGAACAGUAACGCAGUUUGGUUGAAAAUAAUCCUGUGUAAUGCAUGCACCGUACGCGAGAUUUUUCGUCAACUGAUAUGCUACCAUCAACAGUACAUAAGAAUUUUAGUCCAACAGGAUCGUGACACCUCAUCAGUCAAUGCCACAUCAUCGGUCAAUGCCACGUCAUCAUCCGUCUAUGUGAACAGUGUCGUGAACAGUAACGUAUACAGUACCGUACAUGUGAAUAGUGUCAUUUUUCCUUUUAUGCUCCUCCUAAAGUUUUUGACCGUCCUGAGUUCAAAAGUGAUGUCCGUUUUGCCGUCUGAUUUCUCCUUUAUUGUGAAAUGACUAUAAUGCCCCUAAAAUACAUAAAAUACUUAAUUAAAAUAAAACACAUGUAAUUAAAUCACAAGAAGGUUAAAUACAUAAAAGUAAGGGUUGUUAGUAAGACUUGAAAUGUAAAAUGACGGUUUUCUCCUUUAUAAAUAUGCAUUUUCUAACACUCAACACACCCCCCAACCAGCUUAUUGCUAGUCCCUAGCAAAUAAAGCGAAAACAAAAUUCAAAUUCAAAAUGAUUUUUUUUUUUUUUAGAAACACUCGUGUUUAUUCAAUCAGAUUAAUGAUAGCAAUCAAAUAAAAGUAUAAGCAUUAUCUCCAGUCUAAAGCAACAUCACACUCACAUCAACCAUCCACAUGAAUUAGCCCAGUAGACUUUGUUAUAGCUACUUUCAAGAAUGACAUGUCAAACCCCAAAAUCUCACUGGAAGUAGUGACACUCUCACAAAUAAAUUAAACCCAAUAAAAAUAGUCACUCCAAUGAAUGAUAAUUGAGAGAGAAAAUAAUAAAGAAGUGAUAUCACAUGCUCUCACCAAGAUGAAAUAAAUAUGCCCUCAGCUUAGAAAUAAUACGAUCUCAAGUCAAAUAAAAUGUAAGUCAACCCACUUUAUUUAUCUUUUUUUUUUAAUUAUGCAUCACUACAUCUUUUUAGCCCAUAUAACUAGCUUCUACUUCAAACUAUAGUUCCCUAAAAUCAAGAAGGACUUUUAUUAGGACGUAACGUAGGCUAGGGACAUGGUUAACAAAGAAGGGAAAUAAGGAAAACAAAGUGUAUGUUUGAGAAAAAUGCAGAGAUUUUUUUUAUUUUUGGAAGUUACAAGGUGGAUAAAAGGUACAUCCUUAGAAAGAUCUUACUUCUCUGACUGUUUUAGGUGAAAGAAGAUUAGAAAUGAGAUCCACCUUGGCUUUGUCAACCUCAAUACCUUUGCUCGAAAUGAUGUGACCGAGAACAAUACCUUAUUUUACCAUAAAAUGACAUUUCUCCCAAUUUAAGAUCAAGUUCUUCUCGAUACAUCUCUGCAGAACUAGUGUUAGAUGAUGUAAACAUUGAUCAAACGAGUCACCAAAGACAGAAAAGUCAUCCAUAAAGACUUCAAGGAAUCGUUCAACCAUAUCAGAAAAAAUGCUUAACAUGCAUCGUUGAAAUGUAGCAGGUGCAUUACAUAAUCCAAAUGGCAUUCUCCUAUAUGCAAAUGUGCCAAAAGGGCAAGUGAAAGUAGUUUUCUCUUGAUCUUUUGGUGCUAUGGGAAUCUGAUUAUAUCUUGAAUAGCCAUCUAGAAAGCAAUAAAAUUCAUGGCCUGCUAAUCUAUCAAGCAUUUGAUCAAUAAAUGGUAAAGGAAAAUGGUCUUUACGUGUGACAGAAUUCAACUUUCUAUAAUCAAUGCAUACACGCCAUCCUGUAGUUACUCUAGUGGGUAUCAAUUCAUUAUCAGCAUUGGUAACUACUGUGACUCUUGACUUUUUGGGGACAACUUGUACAGGACUGACCCAUGAACUAUCAGAAAUGGGGUAAAUGAUACCUCCGUCUAAUAGCUUCAGGACUUCUGUUCUAACAACUUCUUUCAUGUUAGGAUUUAACCGACGUUGCAUCUCCCUAGUAGUUUUAGCAUUUUCAUCAAGGUGAAUGUAAUGCAUGCAGUCUACUGGGUUUAUACCUUUUAUGUCUGCUAUGGUCCAUCCUAAUGCUCCUUUGUGCUCUUUUAAAACAUCCAACAACUUACCUUUUUGUUUGUCAUUGAGGGAUGAUGAGAUGAUUAUCGGCAGAGAACUUUCUUCUCCCAAAAAUGCAUAUUCUAAAGUAUUGGGUAAUGGUUUGAGCUCGAGUUUCGGUGGUGAUUCUGAUGAUGGGAUGAGUUUCUUCUCUGAUGGUGCUAGUUGCUCAACUCUUGACUUCCAUUUAUUAGUGUCCAUAGAUGGUGCUGAGUCAAGCAGGGCGUUGACCUCAUCGACCGAUCUGUCAAUAUCAAAAUCCAAACCAAAGUGAGUUAAACAUGUUUGUAAAGGAUCACUAAGGUUUGAAACAAAAGUAUCAUCAACUAAUGCUUCAAUUAAAUCCACAUCAACAAUUCCAUCAUCUGCACUGUGAGGUUGUUUGGCAAUGUUGAAGAUGUUCAGCUCCAUAGUCAUGUUGCCGAAAGACAACUGCAUAUUUCCAGUUCUGCAUUGAAUGUGAGCAUCCGCAGUUGCCAAGAAAAGUCGGCCUAGAAUAAUGGGGAUGUGCUUCCUUGAAUCCUGUAUUGGUUGAGUGUCAAUUACAAUGAAAUCAACAGGAAAAUAAAACUUGUCUACCUGGAUAAGCACGUCCUCCACAAUACCACGAGGUAUUUUCGUGGACCGAUCUGCGAGUUGUAACACCACUAGAGUUGGGUGUAAUUCUCCAAGUCCAAGUUUCACGAAUACAGAGUAAGGCAAAAGAUUUACACUAGCUCCUAAAUCCAACAAAGCAUUCUCAAUUGUGUGGUUCCCUAUACUACAUGAGAUAGUGGAGGAGCCUGGGUCUUUGCAUUUUAAAGGAAUUUUAUGUUGGAGUAUAGAACUAACGUUUUCUGUUAAAAAUGCCUUCUUUUGAACAUGCAUAUUUCUCUUUUUAGUACAAAGGUCUUUAAGAAACUUGGCAUAAGAUGGAACUUGUUUAAUAGCAUCUAGCAAAGGGAUGUUAACACUUACCUGUUUGAAGAUUUCAAGAAUCUCACCUGUGGAUUUUCCCUUCUUUCCUUUCGCUAACCUCUGAGGAAAUGGAGCUUUAGGAACAUAUUCUCGUGGGUUGGUUUCUUCUUUUUCCUCCGGUGGUGAGUCCUCAACAUUCACAGGUACAAUUUGAUUUUCUUUUGUCACCGGCAUCUCCACUUUGUUGUCGACUUCUUUUCCUUUUCUCAAGGUCAUGACUGCUUUGACCUCUCCAUGCUGCUGUGGUGAACUGGUACUUGCUUCAUGUACUCCUUUAGGAUUAGGCACUGGUUGACUUGAAAAUUUGCCUUUCUCAACAGUCAUUGCCAAUGUCUGAACUGAAGAAGCAAGUUGUCCCACCAUCUUUUUUAGGCUUGAAACAGAUUGAGCUUGUGAGUUGAAGCCUGCUCUUAACUCAUUUCGUAGUCCAUCAAUGGUGCGGUUCUGUUGCUCAAUCGUGGAGUGAGUAACAUUCCUGAAAUUCUGGAAUGCAUCCUCCCAUGGUCUAGGUUGAGAGUGGUUCUAGUUCUGAUUGUAUGGUCUAAAUGGUGGCUGAGAGGCUUGAAGAUUUUGUGGAAUUGGUGGAGCUGGAGCUGUUGGUCCAUUCUGUUGGAAUCCUUGAGACCAUGAAAAAUUGGGGUGGUCUCUCCAUCCAGGGUUAUAUGUGUUGGAGUAUGGGUUGUAAUUCGAUGGUUUUCUCAUUACACCUAUGGCAUUGGCUUGAUCUGAGUAUGAGUCAUGGUCAUGUGGCUCUGUUGAUUUAGCAGUCGAUAAUGAUGCUAUUUGUCGAGAGAGACCUUCAAUUAUCGCUUUGACUUCUUUAAUUUUUGAACUUGAUUCGCCAAUGUGAACCUCAUUUACUCCCUUAAUUCUUCUAGUAUUCCUGAGUGAUCGACUCCGUUGUUGGGAAUUAUCCGCUUGUCGCUGGAAGAAUUACCAAAUCUCUGAUGCACUUUUUGACAUUAGCUCUCCUCCACUUGUUGCCAUUAGCCAUUCUUGCACAUUCGGCAAUAAUCCCUCCAAAAAGUAUUGGCAUUGGUGCCAUUUCUCGUACCCAUGAUGUGGACACUUCAAGAGUAGCCCAUUGAAUCGCUCCCAUGUUUCGAAAAAUUGCUCGUCCUCUCUCUGGGUAAACUCUGAGAUUUCCCUGCGAAUAGCAUUGGUUUUAUGCACUGGGAAAUAUUUAUUCAAAAAUUUUGUAACCAUUUGUUCCCAUGAUGCAAUGCUAUUAGCAGGCAAUGUAUUAAGCCAUGAACGAGCUCUAUCCUUUAAAGAAAAUGGGAAUAGUCUAAGUUUAACAUCAUCGUCUGAAAAAUUUUCAUAUUUAAAAGUUUGACAAAUGGCAUGAAAAUCAUUCAGAUGAUUAUAUGGAUCCUCAUUUUCUAGGCCAUAAAAUGUGGGGAGACAAUUUAGCACACUAGGUUUUAAUUCGAAACUCCUAGCAGCUACAUUUGGGUAUCUUAUGCAUGAUGUGCUUAAAUUAGUUAAGGGACUAAAAUAGUCCUUAAAUGGCCUCUCUUGUGGUGCUUGUAAAUCCAUUUCAAAUUUAUUUUUAAUGUGCUUUUGUGUGCGAAGUGUUUUCUCAAGUUCAAGGUCUAUAGGUUCAAGAUUAGGUAAUAAUAACCUACGACCAUGCAUGCAAGACAAAUAAAAUAAAAAUAAAGAUGGGAACAAAACAAAUAAAAAUAAAGAAGAGGGAGAAAUUACGAUACUAACCUUAUUGCGCUAUUACAACCUUUCUAUAAAAAUACACAAAAAUAAAUACGUGAAAUAAAUUAACUAAAAAUUAAAUUAAUAAAAUAAAAUAAAAAUUACAAAAUGUUAAAGAAGAGAAAAAGAAAAGAAAUACUAACCUUUAUAUGUAGAUUCACUUUUUUUUUCUUUUUUUUAAUUAAAAAAAAUACAAGAAAACAAAUAAAAGAAAUUAUUCAAAAAAUUAAUUCUAUGAAUUAAAAUUACUUACCUCCCCGGCAACGGCGACAAAAACUUGUUGUGCAAAUUUUAAUGUACUCACAAGCGCACGAAUCUAUUGUAGUAUAGACUAAUGGUGACGAGUGUCGAUCCCACGAGGAGGUGGAUUUUAAUUAUAUAUAGAAUUAAUUUUGUAAAUGGGUAGUUGGAUUUAUGGUGGAAAUGAUUUGGAAUAUGCUAAAACUUAAAUUAAAAUGGCGAGAAUAAAUUCUAAAAUUGGUAUUGAAAUGACGAGAAUAAAUUGAAGAGAAUUCUAUUAAAAUGACGUACUUGGUAUCUGGAUCUGUAUCAACAUGCAUCAUGGGCUAAAUAAUCCUUAUUAAUGCCAAUUAAAUCAUGAGGGGGGAAUCCACACCUCAUGAACCACGCUCUAAUCAAUAUGGUGCUAAGGGCUUAUCGUGCCAAAUAAUAAUAACCUUGUACUAGAGGGCCGGUGAAACCAAGGCGGUACUAGACAAGAUUAGUAUUAUUUGUUGACGAGAAGUCAAAACAUCCACAAAAACUAGAGGGGAAGAGAAAAUAAAUUUACCAAAUAAAACCCAUGACACAUGUUGAGACUUCACCUUCAACCCAAGCUUGAAAGAAAAUUAGCCACUCAUAAUUGAACUAGGGGCAAAAUGGGAAUUUAUUAAAAUACGAAGAAAAUACAAGAUGGAGAAGGAAUUACAGAAAAUGGAUCCCAAAAAUGGAUUCAGAGAUAUCAAAUUAGGGGGGAGAGGCCCCCUUUUUAUAGAUACAUGGAGUAAAUCAUUGCCAUCGGAUUAAAAACAGUUUGGAAGCUCAGGAUUGCGCCACGUCAUCAGUCAAGAGUCCACGGUUUGACCACGCGGAUGAACAGUAACACGGUUUGACUCGGAUGAACAGUAACACGGUUUGGUUGAAAAUAAUCCUGUGUAAUGCAUGCACCGUACGCGAGAUUUUUCGUCUACUGAUAUGCUGCCACGUCACCAUCAACAGUACAUAAGAAUUUUAGUCCAACAGGAUCGUGACACCUCAUCAGUCAAUGCCACAUCAUCGGUCAAUGCCACGCCAUCAUCCGUCUAUGUGAACAGUGUCGUGAACAGUAACGUAUACAGUACCGUACACGUGAAUAGUACCGUACAAGUGAACAGUGCCAUUUUUCCUUUUAUGCUCCUCCUAAGGUUUUCGACCGUCCUGAGUUCAAAAGUGAUGUCUGUUUUGCCAUAUGAUUUCUCAUUUAUUGUGAAAUGACUAUGAUGCCCCUAAAAUACAUAAAAUACUUAAUUAAAAUAAAACACAUGUAAUUAAAUCACAAGAAGGUUAAAUACAUAAAAGUAAGAGUUGUUAGUAAGACUUGAAAUGUAAAAUGAUGGUUUUCUCCUUUAUAAAUAUGCAUUUUCUAACACUCAACACACCCCCCAACCAGCUUAUUGCUAGUCCCUAGCAAAUGAAGCGAAAAUAAAAUUCAAAUUCAAAAUGAUUUUUAAAAAAAAAAAUUUAGAAACACUCGUGUUUAUUCAAUCAGAUUAAUGAUAGCAAUCAAAUAAAAGUAUAAGCAUUAUCUCCAGUCUAAAGUAACAUCACACCCACAUCAACCAUCCACAUGAAUCAGCCUAGUAGACUUUGUUAUAGCUACUUUCAAGAAUGACAUGUCAAACCCCAAAAUCUCACUGGAAGUAGUGACACUCUCACAAAUAAAUUAAACCCAAUAAAAAUAGUCACGCCAAUGAAUGAUAAUUGAGAGAAAAUAAUGAAGAAGUGAUAUCACAUGCUCUCACCAAGAUGAAAUAAAUAUGCCCUCAGCUUAAAAAUAAUACGAUCUCAAGUCAAAUAAAAACUGUUAGUCAACCCAAUUUAUUUAUUUAUUUUUUUUAUAUGCACCACUACAUCUUUUUAGCCCAUAUAAUUAGCUUCUACUUCAGAUUAUAGUUCCCUAAAAUCAGGAAGGACUUUUAUUAGGAUGUAACGUAGGCUAGGGACAUGGUUAACAAAUAAAGGAAAUAAGGAAAACAAAGUGUAUGUUUGAGAAAAAUGCAGAGAAUUUUUUUUUUUUUUUGGAAGUUGCAAGGUGGAUUUCACCUAUUAUUGUUAUUUUUAUUCUUUUGAAACAACAACUUUUGUUUUGUUGUUUUUUUUUUUUUUGCUAUAACUUCACUAAACAACAUAAUUAUUUACAUUUUCUCAAACAUAAAUAGGUGAUGGAACUUAUAAGUUAUCGGGUAAUACUCCAAAUCGGAGUGGGUCAAUAUGAUAAGUUGACAAAGAAAAUAUUUUUUUUUAAAGGCUCAAAAGGGUUAACUAUGGAUAUUUAAUAAAAGGGAUGGCUAGAAAAGCUCAAACGGAUCAAAGAUGGCAUUUCCAUCGUCUUUUAGGGCUCUAAAUAACCUUCCAUAUCUACUAGUUAGAUGGGCCUCCAAAUGUAGCAACACACUUUUUUUUUUAUUAAGGGUUAACUCAAAAGAAAUCUAGAAAUCGUGUAUACAAUAAUAAACUGUUAAGCUGUAUAAAGAAUGGGCAAAAGGGUUACUCUCCAAGAAAAAUGAUAGGCUCAAAAACUCACUUGGUACUUAUUAUGACAUGUUCAUUCCUUCAAGCAACUCAUAUAUGUAGAGCUGGCAAAAUGGGUCAUCGGGUCGUGUUCGUGUCGUGUUAAAUUUAGGUCGACCCAAACCCGACCCAUUUAAUAAUCGUGUCAAAAUAUUGAGACCCAAACCCGACACGGAAAAUAAUCGGGUUACCCAAUAACCCGUUUAAUAUCUAUAUAUUGAACAAAAGUUACAUCAAAUAUUUACACAUUAUCAUACAUACAUACAUACAUAAUU
rnacentral:lncRNA from 1 species